UGGGGAAUUUUGGACAAUGGGCGCAAGCCUGAUCCAGCCAUGCCGCGUGCGGGAAGAAGGCCUUCGGGUUGUAAACCGCUUUUGUCAGGGAAGAAAUCUUCUGAGUUAAUACCUCGGGAGGAUGACGGUACCUGAAGAAUAAGCACCGGCUAACUACGUGCCAGCAGCCGCGGUAAUACGUAGGGUGCAAGCGUUAAUCGGAAUUACUGGGCGUAAAGCGUGCGCAGGCGGUUUUGUAAGACAGAGGUGAAAUCCCCGGGCUCAACCUGGGAACUGCCUUUGUGACUGCAAGGCUUGAGUGCGGCAGAGGGGGAUGGAAUUCCGCGUGUAGCAGUGAAAUGCGUAGAUAUGCGGAGGAACACCGAUGGCGAAGGCAAUCCCCUGGGCCUGCACUGACGCUCAUGCACGAAAGCGUGGGGAGCAAACAGGAUUAGAUACCCUGGUAGUCCACGCCCUAAAACGAUGUCAACUGGUUGUU
rnacentral:rRNA from 1 species